GCUCUCCUUUACUCAAUUUAUACAAAUUAUUUUUCUGAGCCAAGUUGAGACAGAAAGCAAUUCAUUCUCCUCGCAAAUCAAGCAAUCGAACCAUUUCAGAUUUCAACGGCUCAACUAAAAACUUCUAAAGGCUUUGUGACCAGGGGAUUAGCGCUGCUUUCCCAAGACAGGUUUAUAUGUGAUUAUGAUCUUCAGGCUUUGCCUAACCAGGUUGGCUGGCUGGUGCUGACGGGACGGAGCUGAGGCUAGAGUUAAAAUUCAUAUGUUAGACUUCCGCUGUAGCAAUUACUCUUAUACAUCUUUUGUUUUCUCAACUUAAGAUGACUUCAUGUCGAGCUUAAAUUUGAAAUUCUAGUUUUAUGCUAAUGAAUGUUGGUUGUCAGAAACAUGAAACAAAACUUGUGAUCCAAAGGGGCAUAGCCCGACUUUCUAUCC